UGGGGAAUAUUGCGCAAUGGGCGAAAGCCUGACGCAGCGACGCCGCGUGAGGGAUGAAGGUUUUCGGAUCGUAAACCUCUGUCAGAAGGGAAGAAACCGCACUGUGCUAAUCAGCAGUGCCUUGACGGUACCUUCAAAGGAAGCACCGGCUAACUCCGUGCCAGCAGCCGCGGUAAUACGGAGGGUGCAAGCGUUAAUCGGAAUUACUGGGCGUAAAGCGCACGUAGGCUGCUUUGUAAGUCAGGGGUGAAAUCCCACGGCUCAACCGUGGAACUGCCUUUGAUACUGCUUAUCUUGAAUCCGGGAGAGGGUGGCGGAAUUCCAGGUGUAGGAGUGAAAUCCGUAGAUAUCUGGAGGAACAUCAGUGGCGAAGGCGGCCACCUGGACCGGUAUUGACGCUGAGGUGCGAAAGCGUGGGGAGCAAACAGG
rnacentral:rRNA from 1 species